CGGGAUAUGGUGUAAGGGUUAGCACGAUUGGUUUGGGACCAUUCUGACGGGGUUCGAGUCCCUGUUUCCCGA
rnacentral:tRNA from 1 species